ensembl:lncRNA
AUAUUUUGCCCGACGUGAACUGGUUACUACAUGUAUGACCCAUUUCAACGACCAGCCGGAGAGUUACAGCGCAUGGCAACAGUCCUUUCAAAAUGCAGUGAGAGGACUUGAUCUGACAUGCAGCGAGGAAAUGGAUUUACUGGUAAAGUGGCUUGGGAAAGAGUCUGGAGAACAUGCAAAACGUAUUCGGGCUGUCAACGCUAGCCAUCCCCAAAGAUAACUACAGAUGAUAUGGGACAGACUGAACGCAUGCUACGGAGCCCCUGAAAUAGUCGAAGAAGCACUCUCCCAACGCAUCAUCAACUUCCCCAAAAUCACCUACAAAGACUAUGCAAAACUUCACGAGCUCAGUGACCUCCUGAUGGAACUGCAGGCGGCCAAAGCAGACGGAACUCUUCCAGGCCUUCAUUACCUCGACACAGCGAGAGGAAUCAGUCCUCUGGUUCAGAAGUUGCCCCCUAGUCUGCAAGAGAAGUGGCUGUCUGUUGGGUCCAACUACAAAGAACGCUGUCAAGUCUCAUUCCCUCCCUUUGAAGUUUUCGUGGACUUUAUCUUCCAUCAGGCUAAAAUCAGGAACGACCCUAGUUUCAACUUUGCUGUUCAUACUGAUGUUCCAAAGACAGACAAGACGCUUAGAACAAUCAGACCAAAAGAAAUCUCAGUCCACAAGACAGACGUCUCUCCUACAGAACGCAGUGCUGAAUAUGAGAACCCCGAUCGUCAGUGUCCCAUUCAUAAAAGACCCCACCUUCUGCGGAAAUGUCGAGCUUUCCGAGAGAAACCCAUAGAAGACAGGAAAGCAUUCCUUAAAGAGCACAAGAUCUGCUUUAAAUGUUGCACCUCUACAAGACACAUGGCUAGAGACUGCAAGUAUACAGCCACAUGCAUUGAAUGUGGGAGUGACAAACAUAACUCUGCUCUUCAUCCAGGACCAGCACCACAGACCGAGGAGCCGUUCUCCUCCACAAAGCAUGGCGGGGAGCCAACAUCUUCAGAAGUUGCCAGCAGCUGCACUACAGUCUGUGGUGGUGAUCAGAGUGACAGAUCAUGCUCUAAAAUCUGUUUGGUUAGAAUCUACCCUGUCAACCGUCGUGAGAAGGCAACAAAGGUCUACGCGAUCAUCGACGAACACAGCAACAGAUCUUUGGCUCGGUCUGAGUUCUUCGACACCUUCAAUGUCCAAGGACCCCCCUCUCCAUACUCUCUCCGUACUUGUUCGGGCGUAACAGAGACCAUGGGGAGAAGAGCUUCAGGAUACCAGAUUGAAUCUAUGGACGGUAAAGUCAGUCUUCCAUUACCAAGUCUGGUUGAAUGCAACGACAUCCCUAACAACAGAUCAGAGAUCCCAACUCCCAAUGCUGCAUCCAACCACCCUCACCUGAAGUCUAUAGCGCAUCUCAUUCCAGACCUCGAACAGAGUACACCCAUCAUGCUUCUCCUAGGACGAGACAUCAUAGCAGCCCACAAGGUUCGUAAACAGUUAAAUGGCCCUCGAGAUGCUCCUUAUGCGCAGAAACUCGACCUGGGGUGGGUGAUAGUUGGAAAUGUCUGCUUGGGAGGUGUUCACAAGCCUGAUAAUGUAAACGCCCUGUAUACCAGGACAACAGAACAGAAACGCCCCUCCAUCUUUGAACUUUGCCCAAACAUCCUGCAGGUGAAAGAGAGGUACAGUCAGUUUCAGGGCACAAACUAUCCUAAGCUACAAACAAC